GAAGCCAGGCCAAGAAGAAUCCCAGGACUGGAAGGCCUUGUGGGACGUCCCAGGUUUGUCUUGUGUCAAUAGCACUGAUACUCAAUCUCCUACUCCCAUCUGUGAGCAUGCAGACCCUACUUGCCUUCCCACAGCCUCCCUUUUCAUAUUUUUCAUGUUUCUUUAGCUCUGUCUUCAAGCCUUGUUGCUCCCGCAAAAAAACCUGCCUCUUCCUCCAGUCCUCCCAAGCAGGGGGAACAGUCCUGACACCUUUCCAAGCCCUGGUCCAUGGACAUUGUGCCCCCUUCUCCCUGCCCAUGGUGACCUGCUCCAAAACCCUCAAGGAGAAGGGAGUGUAUGUCAUUUCCUCCCUGUAAAGUAAAGAUAAUUUUGCAGGGGACUGUGUGGAUGAAAUGACAUGAUGCAUGGAAAUCCCUUAGCGUGUGCCUGGCAUGUAAACUGCAGGUGUCAUCAUUAUUACUGAGGAAUACUGAGUCCCGAACAUGGCUGUCUCAUUGGUGGACUGGGGUCUCCCCCAGGGCAUUCAUCUACUAUGUGUUUAUUGCACCCUUUUUCCAUGUGAGGCACAUGCCAGGGACUGGGCACAUGGUAUGAACAAGACACAGGUCAUCGGUGUCCUCUUGAGCUCCCUGGCUUGGCAGCAGAUGCAUACCUGGGAAGGAUGCUAGGUCAUCCGGGAACUCUACCUCCUUCAAAUCCCUAAGGACUGUGCUCCCAAUCCGCUUACGCUCAAGGAAGAACUGGAAGGCCCAGAACCAGCCUGCUGUCAGGAUCAGAACAAAAGAGGAGGACUGCAUAUGUAUGGACCCACUCCAGAUGGCACGGGGACGGGGGGAGUAGGAAAAGUGGCAUGGUCCCUUCCCGUGGAUAUAAUUCUUCCCAGGCCUGUUGUGUGAGUUGGUGAUGCCAUCAUUCCUGCCUCACACUUGCAAACUUCCCUCUUUGGAAUUUCAGAGACCAGGCCCACAGAGUAUGGCUGUGCAAGUUGUUCACUCUACAAGGGCACCUGGCCGGGCUCUCUGGUGGAGCCUCUGUCUCACAGGUCACCUGCAGGCCAACACUCCCAGAAGCAGCUAGCACCAUGGUUGACCUCGUCCAGGUCCAGGGAAGGCCUCCCUCUCCAGGACUCCUUUAGAUUUCCCCAGCAUCCAGACCUCACCUGCCUAAGUGCUGUUGCCCUGGAAGCCACAGUGAGCACGAGCUCCAUCUUGCACCUUUACCAGCCAAUGGGGGUAAAGACAUUAGCUGCUCGCUGGACAGUCCCGUCAGACACAGACAUGAAACUCCUGCGAGAAGACCAAGCCCUGGAUAAUAUCACCACUCAUCCUGUGGCACUUCAUUACAUUCCGGCUGGGGAUAUUUGAAUAUUAGAUAUUAAGCAAUUCCUGUCAAUUUUGUUAGGUGUGUAAUGACAGUAUCAUAGUUAUAUAGAAGAGUGUCCUUUGGUUUUAGAGAUGCAUUCUGAAAUGAUUUGGGGUAAAAGGUCAGGAGGUUUAUAAUUUACUUUAAAAUACUUCAGCCCAAAAGCAAAUGAAGCAUAUAUUAAUUGUUAGAUGUUAACAAUUGUC
rnacentral:lncRNA from 1 species